rnacentral:rRNA from 1 species
CAGUAGCCACGGUAAUACGAGGGGGGCAAGCGUUGUCCGGAAUUAUUGGGCGUAAAGGGCUCGCAGGCGGUUUCUUAAGUCUGAUGUGAAAGCCCCCGGCUCAACCGGGGAGGGUCAUUGGAAACUGGGAAACUUGAGUGCAGAAGAGGAGAGUGGAAUUCCACGUGUAGCGGUGAAAUGCGUAGAGAUGUGGAGGAACACCAGUGGCGAAGGCGAUUCUCUGGUCUGUAGCUGACGCUGAGGAGCGAAAGCGUGGGGAGCGAACAGGAUUAGAUACCGCGUAGUCCCUGUCUCUUAUACC